AGUUUUUGAGGACUCAAGGGAAGGGCUUAAAUGUAAUCGUCUAUUUAAUUGAAGAGAAAGAGGAAAGUGGUGGACCCCCUCCUGAUUAUUGUUUGCUGGAGUAAAUAAUUUAAUUAAAAAUAAGGGUAAAUCAAAAGGCAAUUGGAAAGUUGAAAAAAGAAAGAAAGAAAGAAAGAAAAAAAAAAAAAGGGUGGCGAGAGGAGAGAGAAAACGAAGGGUUUGAAUUCAAACAGGAUCACGAAAACAAAAGGCGAAAAUUGCGAAGUUAAAGUUGGCGAUUGGAUGCUUGCAAAUUGAAGAUUGCGAUUUGAGUCCUCCGGUGAUUUCGAACAGCGUUCUCACUUUUCUUCCCCCAACAAAAGUGAUGAGUCGAUUUGUGAAUGGAAUUGAGAUAAAGGAGCUUUUUAUUAUUAUGAUUUUAAAAUUCAGGUUUGUAUGAAUAAUGGAGCUUUGUAUUAUUUGGAUGAAUUUUUACUGAUUGAGUUUUAUGUGUUGUGUGAGUGAUGUUAAACGGAAUUAAUCCUGUGAAAGAUUAAGUUUACGGUGUUAUAUGUGGUAGUGUUUGUAAUUAGUUGGUUUUUGAAAGUAAAUUACAAAUGAAUUGCUGACGGAAAAGUAUGUUAUUAUAUACUGUUUAUACUUAGAUGGGGUAUGUUUGUAUUUUAAGAUUAGGUAAUCUUUGGUUUAAUUAAUUUUGAUUUGAGCUCACACUUUGUUUGAGAUAGAAGUUUAACAUUGAAGUUUUGUUUGGCAAGUAUGGGAAUCAAUUAUACGGAUUUACUAACUGGAAAGACAUUGUAAUUGAAUUUAGACCCUUUUUUGGUGUUAUAGUAGUUAUUGUUAUUGUAUUUAGUCAUUUCCCCAAGCUAUUGAAGUGUUAUAUUCAUUAUUUUGAAAUGUUAUGAGUUGGUUUUUAGUAUGACAUGAAAGUUUUUAUUUAUAUAUUGCUUAAAGUGAGAUGAUCUAGUUUUGUAUAAUUGAAUUGUCAAUUAAAUAGAGAGGGUGUGAAAAAAAUGGGGUUGCUUGAAUUAAUAUUUGAGUAGUAGGUAUGAUGUUUUCUGUUAAUGAAACUUAAGCUUUAGUUUGAAUGAACUAUUGAGAUUGAAUUGGCAUUGUUGUUGAUUAGUUUUUUUGGGAUUGACAUUGUUUAAUAAAUAUUGAUAUUAGGUCACACUUUAAUUUGUUUGAGAUAAAAGUUUAACAUUGAUGUUUUGUUUGUCAAGUGUGGUAUUUGUAUGAAUCAAUUAUAUGGCUUUGAUGACUGGAUUGGUAUUGCAAUUUUAUUAUUUGUUUUUUGUUUUUUGUGAAUUGUCUUUGUUUUGUUGUCGUCCUAAACAUCUAAAUGGCUUGUGUGCGUGUGUGUCAAACAACCUUAGCCAUAGUGUUUACGAAGGACGACUCUUCUAUAGGCUAAGAAGUAGUAUGAGGUGAGUAACUGUAUUAAAUUUAAUUUUGGUUUUCCUUUUUUUUCCCCUUAAGUUGUUGGUGUUUGGGGGUUAAAUUGGUUUGGUUUGUGUAUCUCAAGGCCACUGUUAGUCAGAUCAUGAGGGAUUAUCCAGCUGGUUACAGCAAGGACAACCCUUACUAAAGGAAGCAGAAGGAAGCAGUUAUUGAGCACCCUGAGCUGGAUCCCAGGCAAGAUAUGGAAUUUGAUUAUGAGUAACUGAGGUCUGAGAAUGAGGAUGAUUUUUCUCAAGAUGAAGAUUAUGUUAAAGAACCAGAUCAGGGAAGUGAAUUCGAAGAUCAGUCAUAUGAAGAGGAGGAAAAUGUAGUGGUUCGGCGAAGAAUGAAGCAGCCCCAAGGAAAAAUCUGGGUAUGUUGAAGAAAGCAAAGGGGCCAUGUCAUGCGCCCAGUGAGUAGAAGAAAAGUUGCUGCAAAUAGGAAGGCUCCGCCAUCGCCGCCGUCGCGACCGAAGAGUAGGAAGAGAGCCGAUGUUGAAGAGCAAAAGAUGGUAAUCGAGGUUGAGGAACCCGUUUUUCUGUCAGAAGGUGAAGCAGAAGAACCUUGUUGUUGUAACGUAACAAACAUACUAAUCUGGGAAGUGAGGCAUCCCUGGGUUCCACAGGACAGUGUUAAGCCAUAUGAAAUUUCUAUUGCUAAUGAGGUGUUGAGGCGUAUGACUCCCGAAUGGUUUAAGGAGAAGCUCACCCCAUGGCUGCAUCGGCUGGAGCAAUUGUAUAGCUCCGGGUAUAGGGUUGUUAUUCAAGAUCCUAUAGAGAAGAAACUCGCUAAAUCGGUGUUGUUGUCUUCUUUGGGAAGGAUUCUGGUGGCAAACAAAAUAACGUAGAUAAGGCGAGUUCUCUUGACGAAAGACUUGGAAAACUUGAUGAUAAGAUAGUUAUGGGUGAUAAGCAAAUAAGUGUUAGAGAUUUAAUUCAAAAUGUUACCUCUUAGGUCGAAGAUGAUGUAAUGAAAAUGGAGAAGCCCAUGUUUGUGCAGUUGGUGCUGGUGUUGCAGGGGUGAGAUAGUCUCAGCAGACCAGUGCUGCAGCCCAUGUUAUUCCUUUUGCGAAGCAUAAUAAUGAGCGCACCGAGAGCCCUGAAAAUCAGGCUGAGAAGUAGGCACACUCUGAGGCUGCUAGUUAGGUGGCUGCUGCUGAGGGUAACUUUGAGGCUACUGGUGAGGCACACAUGGUAAGAGUCGAAGUGCCACAUGUAUAAGAACCGCAAAAUGACAUAUUUCAUGACUCGCAUGUCGACAUUAGUUUUACAAACUUGAACCAAGAAGUAGGUGAUGUUGAUUUCAGUGCGGUUUUUGGUGUCUUUUGUACGGGUGAUAAUGGUGGUUUAGAGGAUGACUUUAGUACUAGUAAUGGGGGUGGUGUCCAGGAUGAGGAUGUCCAAAAGAAUAGUGAAGGAGGUCAGAGUAAAAGGGAUCAUAGUGUUGGGAUACGACCCCGCAAAACUUCUGCCAAGGGAUUGCAAUAAGCGAAAAAGGGUCAAGUGCUUACCAAGGAGGAUAGGAGAAUCAUUACUUAUGUUCGUUCUUGGACUCCCAAAAUGAAUAGGGGUCCGACUUUGAAUAAAUGCGAAGGGCAGGAUGUUUAUAUGGAAUUUUGUAAUGUCAUUGUGUGUUGCCGGAAGCAUGUCGGGACGCAGUACGUCAAGACUGCUUCUAAGAUGUACACCUAGGAGUGGUCUGUGCAGUUCAAGGGAGGUAGUAAGAGGGUGAUGUUGAAUCCGUGGCAUUCCAUUUUGUUAAUGUCAACUUGAUUUUGUGAGGGGUUGUGACUUUAGUUCCUUUAUUGAUCUUAUCAGUGUUCUUUUGUGGGAUAUAUAUUUUGCAGAUAAGCUUACUAGAAUAGUCUCGAUCCCCCGAAGAAAUUGUUGUGAAAUAUUGGCAUCCUUUGCGUGAUGUCUCGUUAAGGAAUAUAGCUGUUAAGAGUUCUACUUGCUUUAGGGUGGUAAUAUUAUACUUUUGGUCACAUUUUCAUAUAAUUAAGAUCACAUUUUCAUUUCA